UGUGGGAAAUGGGAAGGUACUAAAGACCUGAUAUACUAAAAACCUUAUUUGACCUGAUUCAAAAUCGUCAGUAAAUAUUCCAAACAAACGAAUUUUUGUAUAGCAUUUUGCAUCAUAGUCAUAAAGUAUUUAAAUAAGUCAUUUGAAGUACUCAAUAUUGUCAUUUAAUCUAAAAUAAAAACAUCAGGUAAAUAUCAGGUCUCGUAUAUCCGGUUAUUAGUGUGUCCCAAAAGUCGGACACAUGUUUACAAACUGAAAGUUGGAAAUCGUGAAGUUGAGCAUUUCUUACCACACAAGCCACAGGCCGUAUGUAGACAUGCACGCACAUUUAAUCUGCAGCUACGAAGUACUUUCUCAAUCGUCUGGAGCAUUAUUUUCAGCAGAAUUAUCCGAUUUAUAAUUUUUUGUGUGAAUUGUUUACGAGGAAAUUCCGACUGUUAAAUUUACAAGCUGAGCACUCUUGACUCUGGUUCGUGGUUCCCAGUGAUAAAUGUAUCGAGUGAUGAAAGAGUCGACGGUGACAUUUUAAAGUUUGAUUGGCAUGGACUAUCGGAAUGAAGAUGACUGCAGGAAUGGUUUGUUUGAUUAUUGGCCUAUCAAACAUUUUCAAGUCAUUUGAUGAUGCCACCACUUGGGAUAGUAAGCUGCAAAUAUAGACUUGUACUCAGCACUUAUUGCCUUUGAGAAGUAAGGGAUCCUUUUGACACUGAAUCUCGUUGUAUGCGGUCUCAUUGGAGUAACCCGUCUGAAGCAUUUAGCAAUGGGAUUGGAACCUGUGAUGUUUGAUGCAGUGAAUAAUCAAAGUACUCAGAAGUACUGAAAGCUGGGCUCAUUUACAGGGUAAUGAACAAAGACCGUGAUGAGAGUUUAAAAACAAAUUCAGACAUUGAGAGGAUAUGUUAUCCACAAAAAUAUCUCUAUGGCAUAUAUAUAGUAUUAAAAAGUUUUAAAAUUAAAUAAAAUUAUUAUAGAAUUUAACAGCAUAAAAUAUUCAUCACAUGUAUCGUUUGAGGCGGUUUCAGGGAUUUAUAUACCAACAGAAAUAAAUAAACACUAAUGCAGCAAGAUUAUUUAAGGUCAAACGAUUAUGCACUGAUGUGUCCUCAGCUGAGAAUUUGCAUCAAAGCGUACAUCAAGUAAUUAAUGAUGUUUACCACAUUUGUGUUAGACUGACAAUACAACCUUUAUUUAUAGAAUAUGGCGCACACAUCGAUACCUGAUGAAAACCUUUUGCAUAUUUUAAACAAAUAAUUAAUCGAAGAAGACUGUAGAAAGUACAUUAUUAUAAUUAUUUUUUGACAAUUUCCGAUAAUUUUGAAAAUUUAAUUCUGUAAUCAGUGUUUGUAUUGCCUCAAAUUUGAUUGCACAAAUGUACUAUAUUUUAAUGUGUAAAUUUGAUUAAGCAUCAG